rnacentral:tRNA from 2 species
GGGUUCGUAGCUCAGUUGGUUAGAGCGUCGCAUUGACAUUGCGAAGGUCAGCCGUUCAAGUCGGCUCGGACCCA